AUGAAUUCCAAAGAGGAAAGUGGCGGACGGGCGAGUAACGCGUGAGUAACCUGCCCAUAAGAGGGGGAUAAUCCAUGGAAACGUGGACUAAUACCGCAUAUUGUAGUUAAGUUGCAUGACUUGAUUAUGAAAGAUUUAUCGCUUAUGGAUGGACUCGCGUCAGAUUAGAUAGUUGGUGAGGUAAUGGCUCACCAAGUCAACGAUCUGUAGCCGAACUGAGAGGUUGAUCGGCCGCAUUGGGACUGAGACACGGCCCAGACUCC
rnacentral:rRNA from 1 species